rnacentral:rRNA from 1 species
GGAGGAUCAUUAUCGUAGGGCUUCGGCCCUGUCGAGAUAGAACCCUUGCCUUUUUGAGUACCUUUCGUUUCCUCGGCAGGCUCGCCUGCCAAUGGGGACCACAAAAAAACACUUUGCAGUACCUGUAAUAGUCUGAACAAACAAACAAAAAUCAAAACUUUCAACAACGGAUCUCUUGGUUCUGGCAUCGAUGAAGAACGCAGCGAAAUGCGAUAAGUAGUGUGAAUUGCAGAAUUCAGUGAAUCAUCGAAUCUUUGAACGCACAUUGCGCCCUUUGGUAUUCCUUAGGGCAUGCCUGUUCGAGCGUCAUUUAAACCUUCAAGCUCAGCUUGGUGUUGGGUGACUGUCCGCUUCACCGCGGACUCGCCUCAAAAUGAUUGGCGGCCGGUACAUUGGCUUCGAGCGCAGCAGAAACGCGAACUCGGGCCCGUCGUAUUGGCUCCCAGAAGCUAUCUUCACAAUUUUGACCUCGGAUCAGGUAGGGAUACCCGCUGAACUUAAGCAUAUCAAUAAGCGGAGGA